rnacentral:rRNA from 1 species
GCUUGCGGCCAUACCACCCUGUCUGUGCCCGAACUUGUCUGAUCUCAGAAACUAAGCAGGGUCGGGCCUGGUUAGUAUUUGGAUGGGAGACUGCCUGGGAAUACCAGGUUGACUGAGGAA